UGAGGAAUAUUGGGCAAUGCCCGCAAGGGUGACCCAGCAACGCCGCGUGGAGGAUGAAUGUCGUAAGAUUGUAAACUCCUGUUAGAGGGGAAGAAUAGUACCGGUUGGACCGGUAUAUGACUGUACCCUCAGAGAAAGCCCCGGCUAACUACGUGCCAGCAGCCGCGGUAAUACGUAGGGGGCAAGCGUUGUCCGGAUUUACUGGGUGUAAAGGGCGCGCAGGCGGGAUAAAAAGUCAGUGGUGAAAUCCUACAGCUUAACUGUAGAACUGCCUUUGAUACCUUUAUUCGUGAGUUCGGGAGAGAGAGACGGAAUUCCAGGUGUAGUGGUGAAAUACGUAGAUAUCUGGAAGAACACCUGUUGCGAAGGCGGUCUCUUGGUCCGACACUGACGCUGAGGCGCGAAAGCGUGGGGA
rnacentral:rRNA from 1 species